rnacentral:lncRNA from 1 species
GUCCACAGCUGCCCCGGAUUGACUGCAAGGCGGCAGUCCCUCCUCUCUGCUUUCAUUCUGCACACAUCACUCCGGAGUGCUGUUGUUUGCUUCACUUCUGUCUGCAGAGCCCGAGUGAAUCAGACCUCACGCCAGCCUCAGCCAAGCUGCGUCCUUGGAGCCAGGGCAGCGACAUCCCCUAUCCCAAAACGUGAAAUCAAGGCAGGAGUUGGAUGCACACCUGUGAUCCCAGCACUCGGAGGCUGAGACAGGAGGAUCACCAUGAGUUCAGGGCCAUCCCGGGCUACACAGUGAGUCCAAGGCCAGCCUGAACUGCACAGCGAGACCCUGUCUCAAACAAACAAACAACCAAAUAGGGCCGGGGAUUUGGCUCAGUGGUUCCACCACUUGUCCCGAAAGGACCCGAGUUCAAUCCUGGUACAAAAAACAAAACCAAACCAAACAAACAAAAACCAAAUAGCUGAAAUCCAAAAAGCUCCAAAACUGAAAAGCUCUGGGCACCGCCUGAUGCCAUACAGAGCUCCACCCUCCCUCAGGGGCAGGUGGCAUCAGAAUGUGGCACUAAAUGAUGAAUAACUGACCUUCAGGCUGUGAGCAUCAGGCACUUCAGAGAAGGGACGUGGGCCCUGUGUGCAGAGAGAACACAGGAGGAAGGGAGAGCCCAGCAGGGACGAAACCAUGCAGGCGACGGCAGCGGACAGCACUUCCUGCACCCCACAUGGGAGGACUUCGAGGCCAGGGCGAAUGCCACGCCAGAGUCCGUGGGACCCAAGCAUCUGCAGGUGUUGGGCUUCCAGGGUCCAGGUCCUCUGGGAAGGGCGGGCUGCAGCUGCCUCCCCACUUGUUAGUGUCUGCGAGGAGCCCCAGGUGGCCUUGCCUUCUUGAUUCCAGCUCGUGAUGAGGACACGUGGAUCGGAUCGAGGUGACUCAG